rnacentral:rRNA from 1 species
AUUGAACGCUGGCGGCAUGCCUUACACAUGCAAGUCGAACGGCAGCACGGGGCAACCUGGUGGCGAGUGGCGAACGGGUGAGUAAUGCAUCGGAACGUGCCAUUGAGUGGGGGAUAACGUAGCGAAAGUUGCGCUAAUACCGCAUAUUCUGUGAGCAGGAAAGCAGGGGACCGGCAAGGCCUUGCGCUCUUUGAGCGGCCGAUGUCAGAUUAGCUAGUUGGUGAGGUAAAGGCUUACCAAGGCGACGAUCUGUAGCGGGUCUGAGAGGAUGAUCAGCCACACUGGAACUGAGACACGGGUCCAGACUCCUACGGGAGGCAGCAGUGGGGAAUCUUGGACAAUGGGCGCAAGCCUGAUCCAGCCAUGCCGCGUGAGUGACGAAGGCCUUAGGGUUGUAAAGCUCUUUUCAGUGGGGGAAGAUAAUGACUG